rnacentral:rRNA from 1 species
AUGAUACCGUACAAAUUAUAUUUUUCUUUCUCCGAGACUUCAUUGCACUGCUGGGAGUGUGUGGCUUCUUUGACAGGAAUUCAGAGAAAUCUCUCAGUUGAUGCAAUGACAGUAGUUGUACAAGCUCUGUUAAAGAAGCCAGUUCAAGAACAAGCACCUUACUCGCUUCAAUCUCUGAAUAGAGCCAAGAACAAGCACCUUACUCGCUUCAAUCUCCAAAUAGAGCCAAGAACAAGCACCUUACUCGCUUCAAUCUCUGAAUACAGCUUAACUUUAGUUUCAUUUUCUUCUGUUUUCUUCCUCAAAAUUUAA